rnacentral:rRNA from 1 species
AGUGAACGCUGGCGGUAGGCCUAACACAUGCAAGUCGAACGGCAGCACAGGAGAGCUUGCUCUCUGGGUGGCGAGUGGCGGACGGGUGAGGAAUACAUCGGAAUCUACUCUGUCGUGGGGGAUAACGUAGGGAAACUUACGCUAAUACCGCAUACGACCUACGGGUGAAAGCAGGGGACCUUCGGGCCUUGCGCGAUUGAAUGAGCCGAUGUCGGAUUAGCUAGUUGGCGGGGUAAAGGCCCACCAAGGCGACGAUCCGUAGCUGGUCUGGGAGGAUGAUCAGCCACACUGGAACUGAGACACGGUCCAGACUCCUACGGGAGGCAGCAGUGGGGAAUAUUGGACAAUGGGCGCAAGCCUGAUCCAGCCAUGCCGCGUGGGUGAAGAAGGCCUUCGGGUUGUAAAGCCCUUUUGUUGGGAAAGAAAUCCAGCUGGCUAAUACCCGGUUGGGAUGACGGUACCCAAAGAAUAAGCACCGGCUAACUUCGUGCCAGCCGCCGCAGUAA